GACAUCCCGGAGACCCUUAGGAAACUAGGGGUAGGCUUCCAUCUGGAAGAAUCUGGAGACAGGUGCUGCAUGGCUGUCGUCAGCUCGUGUCGUGAGAUGUUGGGUUAAGUCCCGCAACGAGCGCAACCCUUGCCUUUAGUUGCCAGCAGUUCGGCUGGGCACUCUAAAGGGACUGCCGGUGUUAAACCGGAGGAAGGUGGGGAUGACGUCAAGUCCUCAUGGCCUUUAUGACCAGGGCUACACACGUACUACAAUGGCCGAUACAAAGGGCAGCGACACUGCGAGGUGAAGCCAAUCCCGUAAAAUCGGUCUCAGUCCGGAUUGGAGUCUGCAACUCGACUCCAUGAAGUUGGAAUCGCUAGUAAUCGUGGAUCAGCAUGCCACGGUGAAUACGUUCCCGGGCCUU
rnacentral:rRNA from 1 species